GUGGGGAAUAUUGGACAAUGGGCGAAAGCCUGAUCCAGCCAUGCCGCGUGUGUGAAGAAGGUCUUCGGAUUGUAAAGCACUUUAAGUUGGGAGGAAGGGCAGUAAGUUAAUACCUUGCUGUUUUGACGUUACCGACAGAAUAAGCACCGGCUAACUUCGUGCCAGCAGCCGCGGUAAUACGAAGGGUGCAAGCGUUAAUCGGAAUUACUGGGCGUAAAGCGCGCGUAGGUGGUUGUGUAAGUUGGAGGUGAAAUCCCCGGGCUCAACCUGGGAACUGCCGCCAAAACUGCAUGACUAGAGUACGGUAGAGGGUAGUGGAAUGUCCUGUGUAGCGAUGAAAUGCGUAGAUAUAGGAAGGAACACCAGUGGCGAAAGCGACUACCUGGACUUAUACUGACACUGAGGUGCGAAAGCGUGAGGAGCAAACAGGAUUAGAUACCCUGGUAGUCC
rnacentral:rRNA from 1 species